rnacentral:rRNA from 1 species
ACCCGCUGAAUUUAAGCAUAUUAAUAAGCGGAGGAAAAGAAACUAACAAGGAUUCCCCUAGUAACGGCGAGUGAAACGGGAUCAGCGCAAAUUUGAAAUCUGGGUCUUAUUUUUUGAGACUCCGAGUUGUAAUUUAUGGAGUGUACAUCACAGUUAUUUCUUCAAUCUUCAAAUGUUUUUGGAACAAUCUGCCAGAGAGGGUGAUAGCCCCGUUUGUAGGAUUGACUAUUUUGAAAUAACAACAUGUGUUGUACUCUUUAAGAGUCGGGUUGCUUGGGAUUGCAGCCUAAAAUGCGUGGUAAAUCUCACGUAACGCUAAAUAUUGACGAGAGACCGAUAGCGAACAAGUAGUGUGAACGAAAGAAGAAAAGAACUUUGAAAAGAGAGUGAAAAGUCCUUGAAAUUGUUAAAAGGGAAGCGCUUAAAACCAGUCUUUGAUUGCUUAUUAUUUCAAUAAGUGUCCUUGUCUCUGUUCCAUUGUUUUUUUCGAAAACUAUGUCACUCAGAGGCUGAGGAUAGGUUAAUAUCAAUUUAUUAUGAAGGAAAAGUCUAUUGAAGAAGGUAGGAUUGGCUUCUUGUUUAUUCAAGUUCUGAUCUUCAAGACUUUGAUAGGUGCUACUUGAUGAUAGAUUGAGGAAUAUCAUAGUAGUUUUCUUUUAUUUUCUCUUGUAUGUUGUGAAAUGUAGUACUAGGACAAAUCCUUCUACUAUAUUGAUCAAUGUGGAAACAAGAAGAUAGAAGAAGCUAAUUGUGAGGAUAUUAACACAAUGGUUUUAAUCGACCCGUCUUGAAACACGGACCAAGGAGUCUAACAAAUAUGCAAGUAUGAAGGUGACAAAUAGUCUUAUGUAAACCUUUGGAUGCUUAAUGAAAGUAAAGACAAUUCAUUUUAUGAAUUGUUCAAGUGGGAUCUUGUAUCAUUACUUUAAUGAUAUAAAGAGCACCAUUGACCGAUCAGGAUAGAAGAGAUGGCUUGCUAUCUCUUUUGAAAGAUUUGAGUAAGAGCAUAUCUGUUGGGACCCGAAAGAUGGUGAACUAUGGGUGAGUAGGGUGAAGUCAGAGGAAACUCUGAUGGAGGCUCGAAGCGAUGCUGACGUGCAAAUCGCUCGUCAAACUUGCCUAUAGGGGCGAAAGACUAAUCGAACCAUCUAGUAGCUGGUUCCCUCCGAAGUUUCCCUCAGGAUAGCAGGAGUUAUGUAAUAAACAGUUAUGUCUGGUAAAGCGAAUGAUUAGAGGUCCUGGGGAAGAAACUUCCUCAACCUAUUCUCAAACUUUAAAUAGGCAUGAUAUUCUUGUUGCUUUAAUUUUUUAUGAACAAGAAUUUCUGAAUGGCAAACUCCUAGUGGGCCAUUCCUGGUAAGCAGGACUGGCGAUGUGGGAUGAACCAAACGUUGAGUUAAAGUGCCAGAAUGUACACUCAUAUAGAUACCAGAAAAGGUGUUGGUUGAUACAGACAGAAGGACGGUGGCCAUGGAAGUUGGAAUCCGCUAAGGAGUGUGUAACAACUCACCUUCCGAAUCAACUAGCCCUGAAAAUGGAUGGCGCUAAAGUGUACUACUUAUACUCAACCUUCUUUACAAUAUCAUUAUUUUUAUGUAAAGAAGAGUAGGAGGGCGUGGAGUUUCUGUAGAAGUCUAUGAGCGUGAGCUUGGAUGGAAGAAACUCUAGUGCAGAUCUUGGUGGUAG